UACGAAGGGGGCUAGCGUUGCUCGGAAUCACUGGGCGUAAAGGGUGCGUAGGCGGGUCUUUAAGUCAGGGGUGAAAUCCUGGAGCUCAACUCCAGAACUGCCUUUGAUACUGAAGAUCUUGAGUUCGGGAGAGGUGAGUGGAACUGCGAGUGUAGAGGUGAAAUUCGUAGAUAUUCGGAGGAACACCAGUGGCGAAGGCGGCUCACUGGUCCGGAACUGACGCUGAGGUGCGAAAGCGUGGGGAGCAAACAGG
rnacentral:rRNA from 1 species